GACAGAAUGGCCGAGCGGUCUAAGGCGCUACGUUCAGGUCGUAGUCAUCAUAUGGCGCGGGUUCGAAUCCCGCUUCUGUCA
rfam:Anncaliia algerae PRA339 unplaced genomic scaffold supercont2.18, whole genome shotgun sequence.